GGCACACGCUAGGGGUCCUGCGUCGCGAAAGCGGCGCGGGUGAGAAAUACCCUCCGAACCUGAUCUGGAUAAUGCCAGCGAAGGGAAGCUUUAGGCCUCCAUC
rnacentral:ncRNA from 2 species